UUCAUUAGUUACAGCAGGUCUAUGCAUCUCCAGAAAAUAUCAAGGAUUGUCUAUUUGCCAGUUGCCUAUAUUCACCGGAUUAUCAUGUGAAACUGGGUGUUUCAGUAAUUUUAGAUUUUUUAUUUAUAUUUGACUGCUUCAUUGUUCUCUGAAACUGCAGGUAUGUCCCAAGUGAACUGGAUUUUUGCGAUGAUUUGGUCGAUUCAGACUAUUUCUUAUCUUGAAUGGCUUUCACCUUUGGGAAAUUCAAGUCAUGGAAGUGUUUCAGUGAUAUUAAAGCUUUUUUAGAUACUACUAUGACACUAUGGCAGCCAAGGUUCGAUUGAAAUCAUGGACACAUGCAUGAUUUAUGUUCUUUUUAUUAUGGGGCAUUUUGACUUUUGCACAAAUGUACAAGUGCCAUGUAGUGGUUAAUUAGAGGUAUACAUGAGUGCAUACAAGUCUUUUAUUCUCUGCGUCAUGACCUGAGCAAAGAGAUACAUAAUUAACUUAAUUGGGGUAUUGUUGGUUAGUGUAGUAUCUAUAGACUGUCAAUAUUUUUAUUUUAGUUAAUCUAUGCAUGUGAGCACUGCCGAAAAGGAUAUCUUCAGAGAAUGUAUUUUUCAGUAUUUCCAAUGAAAAAGGAUACAAAUAACAAUUCAUUUGUAAUUUCAAUAUUCUGUGAGCCCUGCUUUACAUACCAUCAGGCCACACAUGUAUCUCUUACUAUGUCAAGCACAUGUUAUCAGUUUAUGCACAAAUUUAUCAAGCUUUCCUGUCAUAUUUUUGUAGUGGAUGUGUAGGUUUUACCAUAGUACCCAUUUUACCAUUUGUGGUGUUUGACCGUACGCCGCUCGCCAUCGGGCUUGUCUGAUGUCUUACUAACUCCCCACUGGAUUUCAUCCACGGAUGAAAAUAGACGGUCACGGUAGAAGGCAGGGCACAUCUGACAACUGAAACUCCCCACAUUGGUCCUGCUACUUCCAUUGUGCUUGGGUUCAAAUAUUUCGCCUGGGAGUUUUCGUGCAGCUAUAGAAUUAUUUAGAGUACAGUUCCCGGACCUUAUUACUCAUGUGUUCUUUUUGUAGGCCUAUGGAAGUAGAAGUACGCUGUUGCUAAUUUGUUCCAUAUUUUAUUCUUAUUUCUGUGUCCUAUUGCAGGUGUUCUUCGGCUGAAAUUAGGCUGCUCCUGCUACGUCUAUCAGUGAAAUGUCUCCUUCCAUGAUAAAGCAGCCUACUCUUAAUUACUUACAUAUGGUUGAAUAACCAUCGGUUAUUCAGGUUAAAUAGUAUUUACUACUGAGAGGUAGUUUGAGGGAAUUGACAGUGCAAGAAAAAUUAAAAGCAGUGUCAUGCUUUUCAGUCACCUGAUUAUUUGCAUGUGUUGAUACGACCUGUGGAGUAUGUUUAUGGAUGGACUAGCCAACCCAUGGUUUUCUAGGUGGAUCCAUGUGAAUAGAUUGCUGACAGCAACAAUCCUUGACCUGUAUAUAUCCCCUUCCAUGUCUCAAAUAAUUGUCAUGUAGAAACAAAAAUGGAAUAACCAAUAAGUGGCCAUUUCCCUAUCCUGAGUAAAUUAACAAGCACUUCAGCAUACAUCCGUUUUUUUAUUGUGACUUUAAUUGGUCAGUGUAUCUUGUGAUUAUUUUUUGGGUAAUGCCUUCAUCAGCAGAUUGAGGCUUCCUGGGGUCAUGGACAACACUAAUUUCAUAGAUGGGUUAGUUUCUCAUGUAAAUUCAUCUUUCAUGAUGUUCCGUGAUAAUCAUGGUAGACUGAAGAUAUCUUAUCUAUGCAGUAUAAUAGUAGCGUUAAAAUUCAAGCUCCUUUUGGCAUUGUAACUGUGCUGUCUAAUUAUCAUGCAACCCAAAUAUCUAACUAAAUUGUGCUAUGGAGCUUGCACUAGCAGAAUGAGUUGCCAUCCUGAAUCAUAUGUGUAGGCUAGAGAGAAGUGUGGAAAUAGAUGUCGUUUCACAAGGAUAUUAACAACGGUUGCUUUCAUAUGUUGAUUUAUCUUUCUUCCUGUACUCAUUUGCAAAUAUCUAUCUAUGCAGGAGAGGUUGUAUGCUCAGGGAGGCACAAGGUCAGACACCAUGCUUUGAUCCUUAUGUAUACCUGUAACAUCUAUUUGAUUAUACUUAUAUGCUGGUGUAUUCUUUAUAUGCUUACAGUUUUAGUGGUGUGUAGAAAUAAUUCAUGCUUGGUUAGAUUGACAUAGCUAUUUGCCUAAUAAUAUAUGCUGGUGAGUUCAUGUUGGAUGCACAUUGAGCUUUCAAUUUUAAUCUUAUCUUCCAAAUGCUCAUGGUAUGUCACUUGCGUCAUGAAUUUAAGCAUACCUUGGUUUGAUUUCCAAUUUAUCUAUGAAUAAGAGUUUAGUAUUUAGAUGCAUGGGCCAGAUGUUUAUGCUCAUGUGUGCAAACUGACAGGGAGACCAAGAGGGAAUUUAAGCAUGAAUACACUCAGUGAGCAAUUGAAGAUAAUUUGUUCAGGAUGUCCAUGAACUGUAAUUUUAGGGAACAGGUUACUUCCUGUCUUUUCGUUUGCUUUCUCAUCUUUUCGUUCAUAUCCUAGAACUGUUGAAGCGGGAGGUGUCUUCACAUAUAUGUUCAUGCCGGAUACUUACAUUAUCAGACUAAAAUGAUCUCAGUGAGAUCACUGCUUGUGUCUGGACCUUAUUCGAUAAAUGCUUGAUUUUCUUCUGGUUUUUCCAUGGAUUGGCCAGUUUAAUUUACUUUGAAUUAUGAACUUUUUAAAAGACCAAAAAUCUCAAAGAUCUGUAACCUGAUCUACAAUUGUGAUUCUGUUUUUGCAUUGAUAAAUAUCCUUUUAGUCACACUGGGCAAGUAUAGUUCUAGGAUUAAUGCUUUGCUCUUUUUCCAACCUUAUCUUUGUGAUUAGAACAGAGAAUGGGAGCGAGGUAUAGCAUGAUGGCGGCACACACAAAUCCAUGUACUGUUUAUUCAUCCAUGGUGGUAAUAUUUAUUCUCGCAGAACUCUCCUCCCUCCUUCUCUUCUUCUCUUUCUCGGUCUCCCACUCUCCAUUUCUAUAUCAUAUUACUGAUACACUUCAUGUAGGAAGAAAGAUACGUGUCUGGUAUUUUCCUUCUCAUUGAUAUGCACCCGACCAUGGCUAUUUGUACUAAUUGUAUAAAUGACUUAGAGUUUGGAAAGGGAACUUUGUCUCGAAACGGUUAGAACAUAGCUGAAUAUAUCAAACAUGCUAAUGGCAUUGGAUUGACUUUUUGAGAAAUAUAAUAGAAGGUUAACCCUUCAAUAUUGUAGGUUUUACAAAUAUCUUUUGACAGUCCGGAUGUGUGUUUUCCUUUGACCCUGCAAAAGAAUUGUAAAAGGAUGAGCAGUUUUGGAAAAUACCAAAGGCACGUCUAAGCACAGUAGAAUGUCCACAUAUCUCUUUAUCGCUAUAUAAUUCGUUUCGGUACCAUAUGACCUAAUGUUUUUCAUUUUCCUUCUACUCCAGACCAGGCAAGCAACGGCAAUGCUGGACAGGCUACUCUCGCACCAGACUCCCUUUAGGGUAGUUACCCACGGGCACUCACUUCUGCCGUUUAUUAUUACUUGUGAUUCCGCUUGUUGUGACUGGCUUGAUCCAUGUUGCGGCCCAAUUAUUAUUUUUGUUUAGUUGCGAUGGAUCGUCUUGGCUUGCUUUUGGCACACCUGAUUCCACUACCUUCUGUUAUUGCUUGGACCAGUUUACUAUGUACUGAACAUAUUUAUAUCAAUGUUGUGCUUCUGAUAUAAUCUUGCUAUGUUAUACUGGUGAUUUCCAGUGAUUACUCUGAUUUCCUACUUGCGCCAGUGAGUAUACAA
rnacentral:lncRNA from 1 species